GAUGAACGCUGGCGGCGUGCCUAAUACAUGCAAGUCGAGCGAACUGAUUAGAAGCUUGCUUCUAUGACGUUAGCGGCGGACGGGUGAGUAACACGUGGGUAACCUGCCUGUAAGACUGGGAUAACUUCGGGAAACCGAAGCUAAUACCGGAUAGGAUCUUCUCCUUCAUGGGAGAUGAUUGAAAGAUGGUUUCGGCUAUCACUUACAGAUGGGCCCGCGGUGCAUUAGCUAGUUGGUGAGGUAACGGCUCACCAAGGCAACGAUGCAUAGCCGACCUGAGAGGGUGAUCGGCCACACUGGGACUGAGACACGGCCCAGACUCCUACGGGAGGCAGCAGUAGGGAAUCUUCCGCAAUGGACGAAAGUCUGACGGAGCAACGCCGCGUGAGUGAUGAAGGCUUUCGGGUCGUAAAACUCUGUUGUUAGGGAAGAACAAGUACAAGAGUAACUGCUUGUGCCUUGACGGUACCUAACCAGAAAGCCACGGCUAACUACGUGCCAGCCGCCGCAGUAA
rnacentral:rRNA from 1 species